GUGAAAUGAUGAACUUGUUUAUCCAUUCUCAGAGUGCAGCUGGGCCCAGGCUUUGCAGCCCCCUGUUUUCUGUUCUGGUAACAGGGAGGGGGGUCCAGUGGUCUGGCCUUGGUGCUAUCCCAGUGUUCUACUGGGCUGGCUAGCUGGGGCCAUGCUAUUAGGAGCAAGGUCUGUGACCUGGCAAUAACAAAGAUGAGUGUAACAGUCUGAUCAC